ACAACAACAAAAAAACACAAGACAUUAAGCCAAGGAGCAUCUUGAGUUCCUCACAGAUGUUCUCAACGUGUCGCACCCCGUGGUCAAGCGGCGCAUGAGUCAUUUUCAGCUCUUCGGGUCCUACUCACUGUUGUCUGAUGCUCAGCUGGAUGAGAGGGUCAAAGAGCUGAUAGGCCAGAAUGAAGAACUUGGUGCGGAGUCUGUGAGGGCACGCUUAAGAGGAGGAGGUGUUAGAGUCCAGCGGGAGAGGGUCAGACUGAGUCUGAUCCCUGUCCACCCCCCAGGGACCCGCGAAGAGAGCCAUGCAGCAGCGGCUACAUCAGAGGCAGUACAGAGUUGCAGGCCCAAAUUCUUUGUGGCACAUCGAUGGCAACCAUAAGCUGAUCCGGUGGAGGAUUGUUAUCCAUAGUGCUGUGGAUGGUUACAGCAGACCUCUGACAACAGCAGGAUUGCCACAGUCAUGGAGUCAUUCGAAGCAGCCAUCACCAGCUACGGAGUACCAUCCCCGGUGAGAUGUGACCGGGGGGGUGAAAACAACCGUAUCUGGACCUUCCUGGAACGGUUCAGGGGUGGUGAGAGGGGAAGUGCCAUCAGGGGAAGGAGCACUCACAACCAGAGGAUAGAGCGGCUGUGGGGUGACGUCUGGCAUGGAGACUCCAACGUUUACCAUGACCUGUUCACCUUCUUGGAGACGGAGCAGAUCAUCGACAUCAACAAUGAGUAUUUGUUCGCCCCAGCUUCAACCACCAUCACCUCUCAUGCCACCACCACAGCUCCUCCAACCACCACCACCACAGCUCCU